GUGAGGAAUAUUGGACAAUGGGCGCAAGCCUGAUCCAGCCAUGCCGCGUGCAGGAAGACGCAUCUAUGGUGUGUAAACUGCUUUUGUACGGGAAGAAACACCCCCUCGUGAGGGAGCUUGACGGUACCGUAAGAAUAAGGAUCGGCUAACUCCGUGCCAGCAGCCGCGGUAAUACGGAGGAUCCAAGCGUUAUCCGGAAUCAUUGGGUUUAAAGGGUCCGUAGGCGGUUUAAUAAGUCAGUGGUGAAAGCCCAUCGCUCAACGAUGGAACGGCAAUGGAUACUGUUAGACUUGAAUUACAAGGAAGUAACUAGAAUAUGUAGUGUAGCGAUGAAAUGCUUAGAUAUUACAUGUAAUACCAAUUGCGAAGGCAGGUUACUACUUGUGGAUUGACGCUGAUGGACGAAAGCGUGGGGAGCGAACAGGAUUAGAAACCCCUGUAGUCC
rnacentral:rRNA from 1 species